rnacentral:sRNA from 1 species
GUAUUUCCGCCGGCGCGAAACGAGCGUAGCUUCCUUGUCGUGUGGCCUCAGUCCUUCGCCGUCCCUCGCCGUCCUUCGCCAUCGCACGCCACCGCACCCCAUCUCUCGAAAUCUGCAGACAUCUUGAUUUUUCCCACGCUGUCUGUCAGGUCUCCGCCGCCACUCGACGCCAGGGCGCCGGGUGAGUCCACAGCAGGGCGCAUGGUCGGCUCCACUCUCACCAUCGGGGGAAACUGAGGCCCCGGGGAAGGCGGCCAGAGAGGUCAGGCCCUGUCCUUGGUGCAGUGUCUCGUCCUCUUUGCCGGAGUGAGCCCCCCAGGAUUCGCGUGUCCUCGGGAAAGACACUGGCGGGCCUUGUGGGCUGUGCUGCACCUCGGACGGCUUCGCACCAGCCAGCGCCCUCUCUCUCCUGCAGCACUCUGAUCUGCACCCCCUGAGGGGCUUCCACUGUCCGCGGGGUGAGAAUGCCCCUGGGAGUGUCACAUGACUGCCGCCCCAUGUGUGUGAGAGGCGUCCUCUGGGAGAGCAUGGAUCCUGAGGUCCCAGGAUUGUCAGCUGACCUCUGUCCUGUGUGCCCAGUGGCCCCAGGUGACGUGUCUUCAAGAAGAGGCUGAGCUGCGGUGCUUGUAAGGUCUCAGCCUUAGAUCCAAGGACAGUCCAAGGAAGUCCUAAGACCAUGGAGUUGGUGAUCUAGGAUCUGGGUUUGCUGAUAUUUCUCACCGUGAAUCUCUUGGUGGUGUUUGUGGGCACGAGAGGGGCAGAGAAUGGAGAGUGAGGCUACCACAUGAAGCGUCACCAGAGCUGCUCCCUGCUGCCUGCUCAGAGCACCCCGGAUCCACUGUUCAAUCUGCACAAGAUUCGGGGUCCAGACAUGGGAGACUUCAGCUGCCUCAGAGGACCGUGGACAGGGAAGGCCAGCCUCGCAUCCCUCUGUCCAUGCCUGGAAUGACUUUAAUAACCAAGAGUUUUAUUUUUGAAUUUGUAGCUGUCGUUCACUUUUUACCCACCCAUUCAAUAAACCUUACAGAAUUGCUCCA